rnacentral:rRNA from 1 species
UACGUAGGGUGCGAGCGUUUAAUCGGAAUUACUGGGCGUAAAGGGUGCGCAGGCGGUCGAUCAAGUCGCGUGUGAAAGCCCCCGGCUCAACUGGGGAGGGUCACGCGAUACUGAUCGACUCGAAGGCAGGAGAGGGUAGUGGAAUUCCCGGUGUAGUGGUGAAAUGCGUAGAUAUCGGGAGGAACACCAGUGGCGAAGGCGACUACCUGGCCUGUUCUUGACGCUGAGGCGCGAAAGCUAGGGGAGCAAACGGGG